rnacentral:lncRNA from 1 species
AUGAGGAUUCAAAAAAACAGAAGAAGAGAGAUGGUCAGAUUUGGCUACAGGAAACUCAGUGUGGUAGCACCAUGGAAGGUGGAAGAAAGGGGGCAAGUCAGAGGGAAAGAGGCUGGUUCAGUUGGGAGGUCCCUGCAAGGAAGCAGUCCAGAAAAUGACGACCUGGAUAAAGGCAAGUCUUCCAAGAAUGCAGAGAAAAAGACAUCCCAACAUUAUUUUCCUCCAGGCCAGCCUGAAAUCAUUCUCAGGCAUGCAGAACAGUUAAAAAUGACACUUGUGUGUGAAAAAGGCAAAGCUGAUCUUGAGAACUUAGCCAUAUUGCCAACUCAGCAGCCCCAAUCCCCCAAGGCUUCACACCCCACUAGCACCUCAGCGCCCACCCCUCCCACAGGCAGGGACGAAGACAUCCCAGCAGCCAGAGAAACGCUCCGAAGCAGCAGCAGAGGGGGGAGAAGAACAUUACAGAGCUCAGCAUCUGUGGCACGCAGCUGCCAAGCAGCCUCCAUGUGCCCCUGCAGCUGUCGGCGUGAUGGCAACGGAAGAAGGAACAGAAGGACGAAAAGAACUUUCAGCAACAGGCUCCGAGUGCCAGGCAGGUACCUUAGGGCAUGUUCUUCAGACUUGGACUUUCAACUCUGGAACACUCAACUCUAUAUUUGUGUGAGGUCAGGUCAGUAUGAAGAGCACUGAGCCUGGAGCUGUGACCUGAGUCCUAAUCACAGCUCCGUUGAUAAACGAAUGGAGUCAGCACCUUGGGAGAACAUAAGAAAGCACGGUCAGGGUGGUGAAGAGUGUCAUGGUACCAACAGUGAUGGGGAGACCGACCACUCUAUAUGAGAGGAUGUUUCUACAAACUCUUGAAGAUUGGCCGCGAUUUGUGUGUAAUUAUUAACCAAUCUCCUUUUAGUUCACUUUGGUGUAUUUUCAUCUUUUCAUUUGUGCUAAUAAUUCUAACAUUCAAAAAUAUAUCACAAACACAGGUUUAAGAUCACUGACUAAAUCAUGGAAGUGGAAGAGAACAAAGGGGACACUUAAGCAUGCAGAAAUUAAACCCCCGUGUCACUAACUCAGUACCUCUAACUUUGAAAUGUGAUCGUGUGGCCAUUUUCAGAGAUUCUUGUUAACAGUGAUGUUUACUGGCCACUAGAAAACUAAUCAGAGCCACUAUAGCAACUGAAAAGCCUUGGUUUAACUUUGUGCAAAUAAUACCAUACAAAUAGCUCCACUCGUGCCUAAUCACACUGUGCAUCACAAUCAGCAUCAUAUUUAUUGUAUCAGAUUAUUUUAUUCUUAUCUUUAUUAAAUUUUUCUGAGUUUUAACUAACUCAUGUGUGUGUGUAUGUUCAAAUAUAUAUAGCAGUAAAUAUAACAAACCUCUAUAUACAUACAUAUAAUAUAUAUUCAUAUAUAUUUUUAUGAUUAUUGAAAUAUAAAGAGAUAAGUAUCUAGAUACAUAGAAUCAUCUCUCUGUCUCUCUCCACAUAUGUGUGUGUGGGUGUCUGAACAAGAACGCACACACACAUACACACACACACACGUACACAAUGAGAGAGAAAGAGAGAAAUAGACACAAAGCACAAAAAACUGAUUGCCUAUGAGUUGUCAGCACCUCUUCUCUUCACAAAAAUAACCCAAAUUUUGGUGGGGAUGCUAAUAUGUCCAACUUUAAAAAAAUACAUUUGCAGCAUUGCUUGCAAAGAAGAGUGGCUAUAUAUCUAACUGUUGACCAACAAAGUAGUAGAACUUGUGGGCUUGGAGCUUCCAGAGGAGCAGGCUAAAAGUAGGGCUGAUGAGGCGGGCAAGCAUGCUUGCCCAUUGCCUUCCGGCUUCUCCCUGCUGGCAGCACUGACUCUACACUUGCUGAGGAUCAGCCAACUUGUGAUUCUGAAGUGACAAGUCCAUGCUAUGGAUGGCGAAGUGGAAAGGUUGAGGGAGGCUAGGUCUUUGCUCUCAUCAAGAUUUGCCAAACCAGCUUUGGAUUACUUGCCUCCAUACUUCUCAUAUAUGAGGAAAAUCAAACUCCUGCUCAGCUGGUAAAGAAUCCCCCUGCGAUGCAGGAGACCUGGGUUCGAUCCCUGGGUUGGGAAGAUUCCCUGGAGAAGGGAAAGACUACCCACUCCAGUAUUCUGGCCUGGAGAAUUCCAUGGACUUGUAUAGGCCAUGGGGUCACAAAGAGUCGGUCACGACUGAGUGACUUUGACUCUCAGUGUUUUACAGCCACUCUGGGAGUUUCUGUUUUCAGUAGUGAAAUAUAAUUCUUAACUGAUGCAAGAACAUUGAUCCUUACCCUCAAGGCAUGUAUAUUUUCACUGACAAAACCAGGUAGGUAUUCAUGUUUGACCUGAUUAAACAAGAACAUGGACACGUAUAUGACUGAGUGCUUUACAAAUAGCACAAGCUGUAAAUGCUCCAGUACUUCAGAAGAGAAGAGUAUGCACUGGAGCUUUUGAAAAACAUCUUCAAAUGGAAAGGACCUGCACUGGCCCUAACACACAAAGACAUGCUAAUAAUUAGAGAUUUAGGGAGUGCGUCCCAGGCAUAGAGAAUAGCAAUAAUUGAUACAAACUCCAAGGAGAAAAAAUAAAGAAAAGCACAGUUUGCUGACUGAUUGGGCC